rnacentral:rRNA from 1 species
GGGCAACCUGCCCUGUAGACUGGGAUAACUUCGGGAAACCGGAGCUAAUACCGGAUAAUCCAUUUCACCUCAUGGUGAAAUGUUAAAAGGCGCAUCUCGCGUCACUACAGGAUGGGCCCGCGGUGCAUUAGCUAGUUGGUGGGGUAACGGCCUACCAAGGCAACGAUGCAUAGCCGACCUGAGAGGGUGAUCGGCCACAUUGGGACUGAGACACGGCCCAAACUCCUACGGGAGGCAGCAGUAGGGAAUCUUCCACAAUGGACGAAAGUCUGAUGGAGCAACACCGCGUGAGUGAUGAAGGUUUUCGGAUCGUAAAACUCUGUUGUAAGGGAAGAACAAGUACGUUAGGAAAUGAACGCACCUUGACGGUACCUAACCAGAAAGCCACGGCUAACUACGUGCCAGCAGCCGCGGUAAUACGUAGGUGGCAAGCGUUAUCCGGAAUUAUUGGGCGUAAAGCGCGCGCAGGUGGUUUCUUAAGUCUGAUGUGAAAGCCCACGGCUUAAC